rnacentral:rRNA from 2 species
CUCUGGUAUUGAUUGGUGCUUGCAUCAUGAUUUACAUUUGAGUGAGUGGCGAACUGGUGAGUAACACGUGGGAAACCUGCCCAGAAGCGGGGGAUAACACCUGGAAACAGAUGCUAAUACCGCAUAACAACUUGGACCGCAUGGUCCGAGUUUGAAAGAUGGCUUCGGCUAUCACUUUUGGAUGGUCCCGCGGCGUAUUAGCUAGAUGGUGGGGUAACGGCUCACCAUGGCAAUGAUACGUAGCCGACCUGAGAGGGUAAUCGGCCACAUUGGGACUGAGACACGGCCCAAACUCCUACGGGAGGCAGCAGUAGGGAAUCUUCCACAAUGGACGAAAGUCUGAUGGAGCAACGCCGCGUGAGUGAAGAAGGGUUUCGGCUCGUAAAACUCUGUUGUUAAAGAAGAACAUAUCUGAGAGUAACUGUUCAGGUAUUGACGGUAUUUAACCAGAAAGCCACGGCUAACUACGUGCCAGCAGCCGCGGUAAUACGUAGGUGGCAAGCGUUGUCCGGAUUUAUUGGGCGUAAAGCGAGCGCAGGCGGUUUUUUAAGUCUGAUGUGAAAGCCUUCGGCUCAACCGAAGAAGUGCAUCGGAAACUGGGAAACUUGAGUGCAGAAGAGGACAGUGGAACUCCAUGU